rnacentral:rRNA from 1 species
ACGGCGGGGAACCUCACCAGGCCCGGACACCGGAAGGAUUGACAGAUUGAGAGCUCUUUCUCGAUUUCGGUGGGUGGUGGUGCAUGGCCGUUCCUAGUUGGUGGAGCGAUUUGUCUGGUUAAUUCCGAUAACGAACGAGACUCUGGCCUACUAACUAGUCGUUGGGUUGUCUUGUACCGGCUUCGGUCGGUCGCCCGUCGCAACUUCUUCUUAGAGGGAUCCGCGUCAUCUAGACGAAAAGAGACUGAGCAAUAA